AGAGUUUGAUUCUGGCUCAGAACGAACGCUGGCAGCGUGGAUUAGGCAUGCAAGUCGAACGGGAAUCCGUGGUUUCAAGUUUUCGGACGAGAGGCCACGGAGGACAGUGGCGGAAGGGUGAGUAACGCGUGGGUAACCUGCCCUCGAGUUGGGAAUAACCCGCCGAAAGGCGAGCUAAUACCGAAUGUGGUUUCCUGUCGCAUGGCGGGAAGACCAAAGGUGGGGACCCCGGCCGCGCAAGCGCGUCGGGACCUGCCGCUUGGGGAGGGGCCCGCGUGCCAUCAGCUUGUUGGUGAGGUAACGGCUCACCAAGGCUUACGGCUAGCUGGUCUGAGAGGAUGGUCAGCCACACUGGGACUGAGACACUGCCCAGACUCCUACGGGAGGCUGCAGUCGAGGAUCAUUCGCAAUGCGCGAAAGCGUGACGAUGCGACGCUGCGUGGAGGAUGACGGCCUUCGGGUUGUAAACUCCUGUCAUGAGGGAAAAGCCAGCCUGCUCUGAACAGGGGCGGGCUCCGAUGGUACCUCAAGAGGAAGCCACGGCUAACUCUGUGCCAGCAGCCGCGGUAAUACAGAGUGGCGAGCGUUGUUCGGAUUUACUGGGCGUAAAGGGUGCGUAGGUGGUCUCGUAUGUCGGACGUGAAAGCCCACCGCUCAACGGUGGAAUUGCAUCCGAAACUGCGGGACUUGAGUGCAGGAAGGGAGAGCGGAAUUCUUGGUGUAGCGGUGAAAUGCGUUGAUAUCAAGAAGAACACCGGUGGCGAAGGCGGCUCUCUGGAAUGUCACUGACACUGAGGCACGAAAGCUGGGGGAGCGAACAGGAUUAGAUACCCUGGUAGUCCCAGCUGUAAACGGUGUGCACUUGGUGUGGGGAGAUUUGACCCUCUCCGUGCCGGAGCUAACGCGUUAAGUGCACCGCCUGGGAAAUACGGCCGCAAGGCUAAAACUCAAAGAAAUUGACGGGGGCCCGCACAAGCGGAGGAGCAUGUGGCUCAAUUCGAUGCAACGCGAAGAACCUUACCAGGGCUUGACAUGCAGCUGCAAGUCCCGUGAAAGCGGGAUUCCUUCGAGGGUGCUGCACAGGUGCUGCAUGGCUGUCGUCAGUUCGUGCCGUGAGUGUUGGGUUAAGUCCCGCAACGAACGCAACCCCUGUGUUUAGUUGCUACUCCCGCGUUCGCGGGAGGCACUCUAGACAGACUGCCCGUGUAAUCGGGAGGAAGGUGGGGAUGACGUCAAGUCAGUAUGGCCCUUACGUCCUGGGCUGCACACGUGCUACAAUGGCUGGUACAGUGGGAUGCAAUGCCGCGAGGUGGAGCAAAUCCCCAAAACCGGCCCCAGUUCGGAUUGGAGUCUGCAACUCGACUCCAUGAAGUUGGAUUCGCUAGUAACGGCGUAUCAGCUACGGCGCCGUGAAUACGUUCCCGGGCCUUGUACACACCGCCCGUCACAUCAUGAAAGCCGUCUGCACCCGAAGUCGCUGAAAUAGCAUUUCCAUGCUGCAAGGCGCCGAAGGUGUGGGUGGUGAUUGGGAUGAAGUCGGAACAAGGUA
rnacentral:rRNA from 1 species